CAGCAGCCGGCGGUUUCUCGGGAUGCGCUGGGCGCUGAGGCCAGCGGUGACCCGCGCGCUGGGCGCAGCGCAACCGGAACCUGUCCUUCCCCUAUCCAACCGCCCUGUUGGUAGCUAAGGGAAUCCUGCCCCCCGCCCCGGCGUCUGGCCGGAGAGGGUAGGGGAAGAGGCAAGUAGGGAGGCGGCUUGCUGUAACCCUCCGGUGCGGCUGUAGCGGGAGGCGUUUACCGUUCUGAGGAGCGUCCGUUUGAAAGCCCUCUGAGAUGAAAACUCUUGGUGAAUAUUUUGCAUAAACAGCCGCAUGGAGAUGCAAGAGUAAAAAACAGAGUAACUGAAACCUAUUGGAGGUUAGUUCGCCACUGGAAACUACCAAAGGGCCUUUCUUUUAUCCACCCCACUACCUCUGUGCAGCCUCACUUAACCUCACACCUCAGGUGAGGGGGAAAUCAGAGAAAGACCAGCAGCUUGCCAGUGCUGGUAGCCUCAUUGCCAGUUUCUUCAUCCUUAAAGCUACAGAUAAUCUGACACUACUCAGAACAUCUAAGCCUUCAACAUUAACCAUCAGAAGACUUUCUCUAUCCAUUCUGAGACGUGGCACAAACAUGUCGUUUUUUCUGACAAUAUCCUGUUGUGACAUCUUCUCCUACUGAAGUUCAUCUGUGGAUAGAAGGUUUUGGAAGUAUCUAUUGACAUAUACUCAAGCUCAGAGGUUCUUUCCUCAGUCUACUAAUGAGGCCAUCAAAGGCAUUGUUCAUUUCUGUUACAAUGUUUUUGAUCUCUUGCCUUUGUUUUUGAAUCUUUGUUAGCAUUUUCAUUUCUCCAUGUUAUUCAUCUAUUCUUGCAUGUUGCCUACUUUUUCCUUUAGAACCCUUAGCAAAUUAAACAUAGUUGUUUUAAAUUCUCAGUAUGAUAAUUCUAAUAACUUUGCCAUGUCUUAAGUCUGGUUCUGAUGCUUGCUCUGUCUCUUUAAACAUCUUUUGUUUUGUUUUUUUUUUACCUGUUAGUGUAUCUUGUAUUUUUUUGGUUGAAAGUUAGACAUGAUGUACUGGGUGAAGGGAACUCUGGCAAAUAGGUCUUUAGUGAUUUAGUGACACAACUUAGGGGAAAAGGAGGCAUUCAUAUUGCUAUGAUUAGGCCUUAGCUUUGGUGAGCCUGUGACCUUGGGCUGUGACCUUUAUAGGUAAUUCUUAGUGUUUUUCUCCACCUUUAGUGGGACAGAAUAGCUCAUGGUUUCUGGAAAUUCUCAUCCCCACCUGGAAGACAGAGCAUGCUGGAGAAAGCUAUUUCACUUCCCCAAGUAGUUUAGGGGUGUCCCUGGUGGCUCAGACAAUAAAGGAUCUGCCUACAAUGUGGGAGACCUGGGUUUGAUCCUUGGGUUUGGAAGAGCCCCUGGAGAAGGGAAUGACAAUCCACUUCAGUAUUCUUGUCUGGAGAAUUCCAUGGACAAAGGAGCCUGGUGGGCUACAGUCCAAGGGGUUGCAAAGAGUUGAACAGGACUGAAUGACUAACACACACACACACACACACACACACACAAAUAGUUUAGAGUCUGGUCAAAACUCCAAUAGGUAAGAUGUUAGUAAAUAUUUUUUUUCUUGAGUUCAGUCUUGGCAGGAAAGGUAUAACAAACCCAGACAGUGUGAUGAAAAGCAGAAACAUUACUCUGCCGACAAAGGUCCAUAUAGCCAAGACUAUGGUCUUCCAAGUGGUCAUGUACAAUAGUAAGAGAUAGAUGGUAAGGAAGGCAGAACACCAAAGAUUUGAUACCGUAGAACUGUGGUGCUGAAGAAGACUCUUGAAAGUCCCCUGGACAGCAAGAAGAUCAAACCAGUCAAUGUCAAGGGAAAUAAACUGAGUAAUCAUUGGAAGGACUGAUGCCAAAGCUCCAGUAUUUUGGUCAUCUAAUGCAAACAUCCAACUCAUUGGAAAAGUCCCUGAUGCUGGGAAAGAUUGAGGGUAGAUGGAGAAGACAAUGUCAGAGGAUGAGAUGGCUGGAUGGCGUCACUGAUGAUGACAUGAACUUGGGCAAACUUUGGCAGAUGGUGAGAGACAGGGAGGCGUGGCAUUCUGCAGUCCAUGGGGUUGCAAAGAGUCAGACUCAAAUGAGUGAUUGAACAACAGCAAGAGCUAAAUGCUGUGGUCUGUUUUAAAAAGGUUCUUUUUUCCCUUCCCCUGAUUGAAGCAUAAAUUUUUUUUCUUUGAUAUUCACUAUAAGAACCCAGUAGGGCUCCUGUUGGUAAAACUCACAAAAAUGUGAGGAGCUCUGUAUUACUAGACCCUCUCCCCCAGAGUUUUAAACUUUUAUGCAUAUCCACAAUGACUCUCCAGCAAUUCAGUUAUAGUCUAGAUUUUUCUACUCCAUUAUUGGUUCCCAGGAAGGUUUCUGCUCAUAAUGAAGGUGAUAUUUUUGAAAAGCUUUGAUUCUCUUUAUCCAGUUGUUCAUCUUUCAAUAUUUGGGGGCAGCAGUUUGCCCUGUGACCUUGCUUUUAUGAUGGAUCUAAGAAGACUUGUUGAGUUUUCAGUUUGUUCAGAUUUUUAUUUUUGUGAAGAUACAGCAAUGACUUCCAAGAUAUUUACAUUCCAGACUAGAAAUCAGAAGUCCUUAUGGGUUUGAGUUUUUAUAUCUUAGUGAAAUAAUAGAAUGUAGAGCAUGUCUGAUGCAAUUUUCAAACAUUCAAGUAUCUUUCAUGUCAAUUAUAAAUAAAAUGAUAUAUAACUCAGUUUGUGAUCUGGGUACCUUGUGGUCAUAUUCCUUUUAAUUCUGUCCUUGAAUGAAGUAAUUUUCUACAUUCUAAAAUGCAAAUAGUUGAUAAAGUUGGGUUUUUUUAAUCUUGCAGUUAAUUAUAAUGCAUUUGCUUAUUCUCUGAAAAAGACAACAUCCAGCACUAAAUCAAAGAUAUUUUAUGUCACCAAUUUGCUUCUGCUUUGUUAGAGUGGUCAUGAAAAGUCAAAGUGAAAGUUUUAAGUCACUCAGUCAUGCAUGACUUUUUGUUACUCCAUGGACUAUAAACCACUAGGCUCCUCUGUCCAUGGAAUUCUCCAGGUAAGAAUACUGGAGUGGGUAGCCAUUCCCUUCUCCGAGGCGUCCUCCAACUCAGGGAUUGAACCCAAGUCUCCUGCACUGCAGGAAGAUUCUUUACCAUCUGAGCCACCAGGGGAGCUCUACACAGCCUUGCAAAAUGGUAAAACUCCAUGCAAAUUACAAAUUUGUGUAAAUUGAAAAUAAUUCUACCUCUGACAAGUACACUAAACCAUGAUUUUCAGUGAUGCAUUAAAGAAUGUUUAUAUAUGAUAUGAAUGGAAUGCCUGAAUAACUUGUAUACAGUUAUAAUGAGAAAAAAUAGUUUCGGUGUGUAAAAUAACCUCUUUCAUCAGAGAGGACAUAUAUUUCUCCUUAAUAAGAUACAAAGAUACACCAAAAAUUAGUGGGAGAUUCAGUUUGAAUUGAAUCAACUUAGAAUAGUUAUAGAUUCAGCUUAAGGAUUUAUUUGGUAUGUUAUUUCCUGGCCUCAGGCAGGCUGGAGGGAGGAUAAAAGGAGAGACAAGAAAUGGAGAGGAGGGAACUCUCUGGCAUUCCAGUGGUUAGAACUCUGAGCUUUCACUGCUGAGUGCCUGGGUUCAGUCUCUGAUUGGGGUACUAAGAUCCCAUAAGUCACAUAGCAUGGCUAAAAAAAGAAAAGAAAAAAAAUAGGAAGAAAGCUGAUAUCAGUUGAUAAUUUUAGUAUUCCUAUUACACAAUCCCUGACAAACUCUUUAAAUCUAUUGCUUAUCACUAAAUCACUACCUGCUUUAAGACUGCUUUAAACUAACUGUGAAUCUCAUUAAUUUCUUAACUGUGAAUCUCACUAAUUUCUUAAACUGUUAGUACCAGUCCUUUCCAAUUUUUUUUAAUUAGCUUGCAUACCUGGAAAAUAUGGUAUGGUAGAUGCUAAUUACCUAUAAGGAAGAUGGCUUAAUUGCAUAGAAGUGUAGAAGAUAAAAAUAUAAAACAAUAUUUUUCAAGAUGGUGUAUUGUGAAAGUUAGGUAUAUAUUAACUAUGAAGUAAUCUUCAUAUGAAGUAUGGGAAUUCAGUUGUUUGUGUUCCCAAGCAGAGCUCCACUGAAUACUCUCUAGCUUUGUGUCUGAUAGUCACAUACCACAACACAACAUUAACUAGGUGCCACUUAAUAAAAUAUAUUUCUUUACAAGAUUUUUUCAUUAUUGAAGAUGUUUUAGUUUUGAAUGGAUAGAGACUGUACCUUCCAGCUGGAUUCAUCUGGAAAAAAAGUUCUCUAAAAAUAAUGCUUCUUUUAAGGUCAUUAGUUGGAACUUAGUUCUGCCAAUAUGCAUAUAACUUUAUUGAACAUUUUAAUGUAUAUAAUAACAUGCAAGUAACAUUUGUUGUGUAUUAAGAAAACAUGGUGAGGAAAAAAUAAGAAAGUAAGAAUUAUCCAUUCAGAUCAGUUCAGUCGCUCAGUCCUGUCCAGCUCUUGGCAACCCCAUGGACUGCAGCAUGCCAGGCUUCCCUGUCUAGCAACAACUCCCUGAGUUUGCACAAACUCUUGUCCAUUGAGUCGGUAAUGCCAUCCAACCAUCUCAUCCUCCGUUGGCCCCUACCAUUCUUCAGUCUUACCCAGCAUCUGGGUCUUUUCCAAUGAGUCAGUUCUUCCCAUCAGGUGACCAAAGUAUUGGAGCUUCAGCUUCAGCAACAGUCUUUCUGAUGAAUAUCCAGGACUGAUGUCCUUCAGGAUUGACUGGUUGGAU
ensembl:lncRNA